ensembl:lncRNA
CCUGUAUAUAGUCUCCACAUUGACUCUGUACCGUAAUACCCUGUAUAUAGUCUCCACAUUGACUCUGUACCGGGUAUUACGGUACAGAGUCAAUGUGGAGACUAUAUACAGGGGGUACCGAUACAGAGUCAAUGUGGAGACUAUAUACAGGGGGUACCGAUACAGAGUCAAUGUGGAGGCUAUAUACAGGGGGUACCGGUACAGAGUCAAUGUGGAGGCUAUAUACAGGGGGUAACGGUACAGAGUCAAUGUGGAGGCUAUAUACAGGGGGUACCGGUACAGAGUCAAUGUGGAGGCUAUAUAUAGGGGGUACCGGUACAGAGUCAAUGUGGAGGCUAUAUACAGGGGGUACCGGUACAGAGUCAAUGUGUG